GAUGAACGCUGGCGGCGUGCUUAACACAUGCAAGUCGAACGGAAAGGCCCUGCUUUUGUGGGGUGCUCGAGUGGCGAAGGGGGGAGUAACACGUGAGUAACCUGCCCUUGUCUUUGGGAUAACAUCAGGAAACUGGGGCGAAUACCGGAUAGGAGCUCCUGCUGCAUGGUGGGGGUUGGAAAGAGUCGGCGGUUGGGGAUGGACUGGCGGCUUAUCAGCUAGUUGGGGGGGUAGUGGCGUCCCAAGGUUUUGACGGGUAGCCCGCCUGGGAGGGUGGCCGGCCUCCUUGGUCCUGCGGUACGGCCCAGUGUGCUACGGUCGGCAGCAGUGGGGAGUAUUGCGCAAUGAGCCCACGCCUGAUACGAAGGCGCCGCGUGCGGAAUGCCGGCUUUCGGGUUAUAAACCGCUUUCGCCUGUGACGAAGCGUGAGUGACGGUAAUGGGUAAAGAAGCACCGGCUAACUACGUG
rnacentral:rRNA from 1 species